rnacentral:miRNA from 1 species
UUAAUGGAUAUGCACUGACAG